rnacentral:misc_RNA from 1 species
GAGAAGAACGCAGCGAAAUGCGAUAAGUAAUGUGAAUUGCAGAAUUCAGUGAAUCAUCGAAUCUUUGAACGCACCUUGCGCUCCUUGGUAUUCCGAGGAGCAUGCCUGUUUGAGUGUCAUUAAUAUAUCAACCUUCUCUUUUUUGAGUUGUUUGGAUGUGGGGGUUUGCCGGCCUCUUAAAUGAUUCAGCUCCCCUGAAAUGCAUUAGCAGAACAACCUGUUCAUUAGCGUGAUAAUUAUCUAUGCUAUUGAAUGUGAGGGCAGUUCAGCUUUCUAACCGUCCUUGGACAAUUCAUCAUUAAUGUGACCUCAAAUCAGGUAGGACUACCCGCUGAACUUAAGCAUAUCAAUAAGCGGAGGA